UUGUAUGAUGCCCUUAGUGCGAGGUGACUGUGGAAUUUUGUUGGUAUCCUCUGUCUCUGACAUGGUUUAAAAAACACACAGUGGAAACAAGAAAAAUAGGUGAAGAAAUAAAAACCCUACAGCUAUUAGGAUGUGGCUACUGUAAGACGCUGUCUAUCAACCUGUCUAACAAGUUCUUACCAAUUCUUACCUUGCUCAACAGGAGGGAUUGGCUACCAACAAAUCCACAGCAAUAGACGAAGUGUAUCGGUGCCGCAGCAACAAAACCUAUCAAGCUGUAGAAUAUGUGGAGCUAUAGGUGGGCUGAAACAAGGAUCGAACUAGCACCACGUUAGUUAUAAAAAGCAAGUUGAAUAAACGCUCAACGGUGGUACUGUGCUGGUCCUAGCCUAGACCGUGCUAGAGACGCGAGCCUGAACACAAAGGGAAAACACAGCACACCACUAGAAACAAAAUGAGCAGCCCUACUGGAAACAAAAGGAACAACAAUCCCCUUUUUUUAUUUUUUUUAUUUUUUCUUUCUUUCUUUCUUUCUUUUUCUUUAUUUUUUUUUCUCUUUUCUUUUUUUUGGGGAACCUCAAAACCUGAUUAUAUAAACAAAAUAGUACAAAAUAUCACUUCACCACUCUCACUCUCUCACUAGAGUAAGGCUGAACCUCAAAAUUCAAUAUAUCUAGCACAAGUAUGAAGUGCUAUCUUUCCUUUUGGAUCACGUUGAUGGAAACACAGAAUAGACCAACAAGUGGCUGCACCUAUUAUCAAGAUCUACUCAAAUUCCAACCCACAAUAGAUUGGACGCAGUUGUGACUAGAUGGUGACAAGAACUCAAAACUCUAAAGGACUAAACUAAAACCAGCACUGGACACGACCGAAGCAAACACUCAUUCAACUAGCCCUAACUAAGUAGUACUAGCCACGGCAGAAAGGAUUUAUAGGAUUAUGGAAAAGUAAUCUGCUAUAUUUUUUGGCUUUUUUUUUACUAUAGGAAAAACAAACACGAAGAAUUGGAAAUCUCUCACCGAUAAACCUUGCUCUGAUUACCAACUGAUGUGAACCCACUAGGGUUUUUGCCUGAUCUUUCGAUGAGAGGCGCUGGAUAACUCGAUUAGUGAAUGGAGAUGACGUUCACGGCCCGACUACAGCCUUCUAAGGCCGCGCCUUAGCAACCGAUACACUGCCUCCAAUGGCUGUCACGGUCUUGUGGAGCGCAACACCCGGCCACUAGGGCACUCGUCCUGCAAGCAAUCGAAGAACCAGCAAGAACAAGUAGAACAAGUACUAAAUUACUAGAUGUAAAUGAAGGUUUCAAACUCAAUCUCUAAUGAAGUGGGGUUUCGAAAACAAGAAGACGGGCGGCUGGAUCAGCACGCGCGUUUACAAGCAAGUAGCGAAGGCUAAACUUUAUCUAAUCAAAACCCAGUUGUUCAUGGCGGCUCUAGAUGUAAAUAAAUAGAUGGGAGGACGACCAAAGGGGUGCUAGAGUCGUCCUCCAACCCUAGGACACGUCCCUAAUGGACUCAACUUGAUACAUGGGCCAUUGGUCCAAAAUAGAGUGACGCAGCACCAAAACAGAAAAACGUGUCGGCACAAAAACAAGGACUGCGCCCGACUCAUAAGCUGCAUAGAUAUGUGGUUGGACCCAUUGGAAAGUAGACUUCAUGAGCUUUCCAACAAGUAUAGGAACGUCCCAGUUGGAGUCCAUAUGACGCCGUGGUGAUCCAUACAAGUUAGAGUUAUUUUCCAGUCCGAAUCCAACUCCCAAAACGUGUUGGGUUUGAACUCUUUGUUUCCUUGCUUUAGAAGCGACGUGGUAACUUGAUAGAGGAUGUUGUGGAGGCUUGGACCUGAUCUCCAAUCACCUUUCUUAAGUUAUCACUCUUCCCAUAUGCAAUCAGCCCUUGAAGUUGGUGUUGCCUCAAAUUUCGAAUGCAGUUGAACCUUCCCUUGCUGAUCUUGUCCAUUAUUCCUAAGCAACACGAAAGUGCACGUGUCUCCAUUGUCUAAAUAUGAUUGACAAGAGUUUAAAACUGAACUUACUUGAAGGUUGAGUUGACGGGCACGAGCAUGAGUAAGAGGACCAACUGGUGUAGGUAUAUCGAUGGUGUUGAUGUCCUCAUCAUCCUCCCUUUCUUGGAUUUGAGUCGUCCUCGACUCAAGCUCAUGUUCCUCACCCAAAUAUGGUUUCAAAUCAGCAAGUAUGUCCUCCGUCUUCUUUGCUCCAAAAUGUCCCAUCAAACCUCCUCCAUGAGCUUCCUGUAACAACAACAAACGAACAGAGCUAGCUGGAAUGCAUAGCUUGUUAGCUCUAAACACAAACCCAUCACUAACGAUGAAUUUGUUCCAUCCUUUUCCAUCUUUACAACGCAGCAACACUUCAUUAAAAUCAGCAUCAUGAACAUAUUGGUCUUUGAUCGUUUCUAAUCCAAAAAUCUUGUAAUCAAGUUGAUUUAGCAAAGUAUAUCUCCUUGACAAAGCAUCAGCAAUGAUAUUCUCCUUCCCUUUCUUGUGCUUAAUAACAUAAGGAAAGGAUUCAAUAAAUUCUACCCACUUAGCAUGUCUGCGAUUUAGUUUUCCUUGACUACGAAUAUGUUUUAAAGAUUCAUGAUCAGAAUGAAUAACAAACUCUUUGGGCCACAAAUAAUGUUGCCAUGUUUCUAAAGUUCGGACAAGAGCAUACAAUUCUUUAUCAUAAGUUGAAUAGUUCAGAACAGGCCCACUCAAUUUCUCACUAAAAUAUGCAACAGGUUUACCCUCUUGUAGCAAAACACCUCCCAAACCAAUCCCACUAGCAUCACACUCAAGCUCAAAAGUCUUAUUAAAAUCAGGAAGCUGUAGGAGAGGUGCAUGUGAUAACUUAUCUUUUAACAUGUUGAAGGAAUUCUCUUGUACUUUGCUCCACACAAAAGGCACUCCCUUCUUUGUAAGCUCAUUCAAUGGUGCAGCAAUGGUCCAACUGCCCAAGCUUGUCAUUCGUCACCUUCAAGUCGUCAGCAAGUCCCUCUGUGUGUAGCUUCACUUGCCUUUCAAAAUGUUGUAUGAUGCCCUUAGUGCGAGGUGACUGUGGAAUUUUGUUGGUAUCCUCUGUCUCUGACAUGGUUUAAAAAACACACAGUGGAAACAAGAAAAAUAGGUGAAGAAAUAAAAACCCUACAGCUAUUAGGAUGUGGCUACUGUAAGACGCUGUCUAUCAACCUGUCUAACAAGUUCUUACCAAUUCUUACCUUGCUCAACAGGAGGGAUUGGCUACCAACAAAUCCACAGCAAUAGACGAAGUGUAUCGGUGCCGCAGCAACAAAACCUAUCAAGCUGUAGAAUAUGUGGAGCUAUAGGUGGGCUGAAACAAGGAUCGAACUAGCACCACGUUAGUUAUAAAAAGCAAGUUGAAUAAACGCUCAACGGUGGUACUGUGCUGGUCCUAGCCUAGACCGUGCUAGAGACGCGAGCCUGAACACAAAGGGAAAACACAGCACACCACUAGAAACAAAAUGAGCAGCCCUACUGGAAACAAAAGGAACAACAAUCCCCUUUUUUAUUUUUUUUAUUUUUUCUUUCUUUCUUUCUUUCUUUUUCUUUAUUUUUUUUCUCUUUUCUUUUUUUUGGGGAACCUCAAAACCUGAUUAUAUAAACAAAAUAGUACAAAAUAUCACUUCACCACUCUCACUCUCUCACUAGAGUAAGGCUGAACCUCAAAAUUCAAUAUAUCUAGCACAAGUAUGAAGUGCUAUCUUUCCUUUUGGAUCACGUUGAUGGAAACACAGAAUAGACCAACAAGUGGCUGCACCUAUUAUCAAGAUCUACUCAAAUUCCAACCCACAAUAGAUUGGAUGCAGUUGUGACUAGAUGGUGACAAGAACUCAAAACUCUAAAGGACUAAACUAAAACCAGCACUGGACACGACCGAAGCAAACACUCAUUCAACUAGACCUAACUAAGUAGUACUAGCCACGGCACAAAGGAUUUAUAGGAUUAUGGAAAACUAAUCUGCUAUAUUUUUUGGCUUUUUUUGGACUAUAGGAAAAACAAACACGAAGAAUUGGAAAUCUCUCACCGAUAAACCUUGCUCUGAUUACCAACUGAUGUGAACCCACUAGGGUUUUCGCCUGAUCUUUCGAUGAGAGGCGCUGGAUAACUCGAUUAGUGAAUGGAGAUGACAUUCACGGCCCGACUACAGCCUUCUAAGGCCGCGCCUUAGCAACCGAUACACCGCCUCCAAUGGCUGUCACGAUCUUGUGGAGCGCAACACCCGGCCACUAGGGCACUCGUCCUGCAAGCAAUCGAAGAACCAGCAAGAACAAGUAGAACAAGUACUAAAUUACUAGAUGUAAAUGAAGGUUUCAAACUCAAUCUCUAAUGAAGUGGGGUUUCGAAAACAAGAAGACGGGCGGCUGGAUCAGCACGCGCGUUUACAAGCAAGUAGCGAAGGCUAAACUUUAUCUAAUCAAAACCCAGUUGUUCAUGGCGGCUCUAGAUGUAAAUAAAUAGAUGGGAGGACGACCAAAGGGGUGCUAGAGUCGUCCUCCAACCCUAGGACACGUCCCUAAUGGACUCAACUUGAUACAUGGGCCAUUGGUCCAAAAUAGAGUGACGCAGCACCAAAACAGAAAAACAUGUCGGCACAAAAACAAGGACUGCGCCCGACUCAUAAGCUGCAU
rnacentral:lncRNA from 1 species